rnacentral:rRNA from 1 species
AGGCAGCAGUGGGGAAUAUUGGACAAUGGGGGCAACCCUGAUCCAGCAAUGCCGCGUGUGUGAAGAAGGCCUGCGGGUUGUAAAGCACUUUCAGUAGGGAAGAAAAGCUCGGAGCUAACAUCUCCGGGUCUUGACGUUACCUAAAGAAGAAGCACCGGCUAACUCCGUGCCAGCAGCCGCGGUAAU